UCCUGGUUAACCCAGGCAGUCUCAUUAGAGUUCCCACCAUUACGUGUUGGCAACUAAUGAUAAGGGUUGCGCUCGUUGCGGGACUUAACCCAACACCUCACGGCACGAGCUGACGACAGCCAUGCAGCACCUGUGCAGCAGUCCCGAAGGAAGAUACCAUCUCUGGUAUUGUCUACUGCAUGUCAAGCCUGGGUAAGGUUCUUCGCGUUGCAUCGAAUUAAACCACAUGCUCCACUGCUUGUGCGGGUCCCCGUCAAUUCUUUUGAGUUUCACCCUUGCGAGCGUACUCCUCAGGCGGUAUACUUAUCGCGUUAGCUACGACACAACCAGGGUUGAGUCCGGUUACAUCAAGUAUACAUCGUUUAGGGCAAGGACUAC
rnacentral:misc_RNA from 1 species